AUUGAACGCUAGCGGUAUGCUUUACACAUGCAAGUCGAACGAGUGGCGGACGGGUGAGUAAUGUCUCGGAACCUGCCCCGUGGCGGGGGAUAACUACUCGAAACGGUAGCUAAUACCGCAUACUAUUGGAUGUGCCCAUAUGGGAUUAGCUCGUUGGUGGGGUAACGGCUCACCAAGGCAACGAUCCGUAGCUGGUCUGAGAGGACGACCAGCCACACUGGAACUGAGACACGGCCCAGACUCCUACGGGAGGCAGCAGUGGGGAAUGUUGGACAAUGGGGGAAAGCCGGAUGCAGCAAUGCCGCGUGUAUGAGAAGGCCUUCGGGUUGUAAAGUACUUUUGGCAGAGAAGCGUUAUCCGCAGAAUAAGCACCGGCUAACUACGUGCCAGCAGCCGCGGUAAUAC
rnacentral:rRNA from 1 species